UUUAGUGUAACUUAAUUGGUAAAGAGUUAACUUGUCGAGUUAAAAGAUGCAGGUUCGAGUCCUGUCACUCUCA
rnacentral:tRNA from 6 species